rnacentral:rRNA from 1 species
UGGGGAAUUUUGGACAAUGGGCGAAAGCCUGAUCCAGCAAUGCCGCGUGCAGGAUGAAGGCCUUCGGGUUGUAAACUGCUUUUGUACGGAACGAAAAAGCUUCUCCUAAUACGAGAGGCCCAUGACGGUACCGUAAGAAUAAGCACCGGCUAACUACGUGCCAGCAGCCGCGGUAAUACGUAGGGUGCGAGCGUUAAUCGGAAUUACUGGGCGUAAAGCGUGCGCAGGCGGUUAUGUAAGACAGAUGUGAAAUCCCCGGGCUCAACCUGGGAACUGCAUUUGUGACUGCAUGGCUAGAGUACGGUAGAGGGGGGAUGGAAUUCCGCGUGUAGCAGUGAAAUGCGUAGAUAUGCGGAGGAACACCGAUGGCGAAGGCAAUCCCCUGGACCUGUACUGACGCUCAUGCACGAAAGCGUGGGGAGCAAACAGGAUUAGAUACCCCUGGUAGUCCACGCCCUAAACGAUGUCAACUGGUUGUUGGGGAAUUUAGUUUUUCUCAGUAACGAAGCUAACGCGUGAAGUUGACCGCCUGGGGAGUACGGCCGCAAGGUUGAAACUCAAAGGAAUU